UUAACUUUACCUUGUUAAACUUGGUUAACGGUUAUAACACGACCACCCUGCACGAGGAAGGACUCUUGGCCAACUGUUUAAGUGAAGACUAUUCUGUGUCGUUCAGCAGCCGAUAGUUCAGCCCCAUUCCUGCAAACAGGAAGACACUAGCAACUAUGAGGAUGAUCCCACAGCCCUGUAGAGCGAGCGCUGGUACUGACUGAAAAACUACAGACCCUACAUGCUCAUGGCUUUUCAAUCACAAGCUUGAAAAGGCCUUUAUCAUCAUCUGAUUGACCAGCCCGGAGUGACAUCAUGAAGUGUCUCAUUCAUCUCAUCAGUGCAAGAACACAAACAAAACCCCUGGUGGUCUUCCAGUCUCAAAGCACAAGAGAAAAGAAUGGAACACUACAGGAAUAAAUGGAGUAUAGUCAUGCUAAGAGCUGGGUAUUGAUUUCAGCAGCUUGUCUUGGAUGGUACUGUAGC